AGGAUGAACGCUGGCGGCGUGCCUAACACAUGCAAGUCGAACGUCCUGUCUCGCAAGAGGCAGGGAGUGGCGGACGGGUGAGUACCACGUGGGUUAUCUACCGUGAGGUGAGGAAUACCGGCGAGAAAUCGCCGACAAGACCGCAUAGCCUCGGUGCAAGCCGAGCAAAGCUCUUUCGAGAGAGGGAGCGCCACACGAGGAGCCUGCGCCCGAUUAGCUAGCUGGUGGAGUAACGGUUCACCAGGGCGACGAUCGGUAGCUGGUCUGAGAGGACGAUCAGCCACACUGGGAUUGAGAACGGCCCAGACUCCUACGGGGGGCAGCAGUGAGGAAUUUUCGUCAAUGGGGCAACCCUGAACGAGCAACGCCGCGUGCAGGAGAAGGUUUUCGGAUCGUAAACUGCUUUUCGUCGGGGAAGAGAACGGACGGUACCCGAGGAAUCAGCCCCGGCUAACUACGUGCCAGCAGCCGCGGUAA
rnacentral:rRNA from 1 species